GGUAGUUGCCCGAAGGUGGGGGCAUCUGUGGAGUUAUUGCUUAAAGGAAACCAAGACCUGAUAAGACUGCAGUGAUAAGGACAGAGACGCUAGCGUGUGGUCCUGAAGGACCGCCAAAAGUGGAAACAGCUUUGCCUAAAGCCAUUUUAAGUAAGAUAUGUCCCACCUUCACAUCCCCAAACAGGAAAAGAAGUAGAUAAAGGAAUCACCAAGAAGAUGCUUGAACUCCAGCUACAACAGGAAUUUUACAUUCCUGGCAAAUACUUCAAGGUUCUUUCUUCCCUGAAACGAACCAUUUUCUAUGAAUCUGAUAGAAAACCGUGGCCUUUUUCUCCUCCUUGCUGGAGGCUGGCUAAUGAGUGCAGUGUGGCUUUUCUAAAGAAUUCUGAGUAACUGGUAGAAAUAAAAUACAAUGGAAAAUAUCACUGGAAUGAUAUCUACCAGAAUUAUACCAGGAACAUAAAUUUCUAUUCAUACAGCCCUCUCGUUUCAACGUGCAAAUUGGAAAAAAAUAAUAAACGUU